GUGGAAGAGAUCACUAAAGUGUGACGCCGAAGGAGCAACCGCCCCGGAAACUCUCAGGCAAAAGGACCGCAGGGUG
rnacentral:ncRNA from 1 species